rnacentral:lncRNA from 1 species
CUGGAUUUAAGGGACAAAGUCGGGUGCAUCUCAUACAUGCGCCAAAGAAGACAACAUAUAUAAUAACAGAGUGUAUAGAGAUAAAUGUCACAAUAUAAUCAGAGUACUUAUUACAUAGCGGAAGUCUUACAAAAUAAAAUAUAAAUAUAGAUCGAAUUAAAAUCCAUCCUUAGCGCAAGAAAGUCAACUCGGAGACGCCACCUAGAUCAGAUCAAACUCCUCGUUGUGUGGCUCCUCUUGAACCACAUGCUCUUCUCCUGUGGGGGGAUGUGAGACAGCAAGGGUGAGCUCACACAUGAUCAUCGCUCAACAAGUUGUGGGGAAUAAUGUGCAUGAACUCACCAAAGGUGGGAGUUCAUGUGAUGUGUAAAGCUGAUCAACAAUGGGGGUUAAAGUUGAGCAUUGUUUUUAAUAAGUUGGUCAAAUUUUAUUAGCAAUUACUAAAUGUAAGUAAAUACCAAACCAUAAUAAAAAUAAUAGAACAAAAUUAAUAAAUAAUCCCAUGCAAUGCAUAUGACAAAAUUGAAUUUAGUUUCAUAAUUUAAUCAUGCGAGAGUCCUGAGCUGCUCAUGGCCGUGAGCUCGGCUAGUAUACCAGUUUUACACUCUGCAGAGGUUGUACCUUGUACCCACAAGUCGUGUAUCCCAUGUCGCCAGGUUUUGCAAAGCCCUUAAACACUACCAAGGUGAAUGGCUAGGGAUCCACUACGAUGCCUUUACAAAGUUCCACUAGCUUCCAAAAACCCGCUACAGUUUAUGGGAAGAUCACUUGCAAGAAUCCCUCGUCUGACCGUCAUCGCAACAAAAUCAACCCGAGAACCUCUCUGCAUGCAAUUCCCCUACUGCCCUUGCCCCUUUCGGGUAAGGUAGUCUUCCACUAUCUUUCCUAAUUAGUUACCCAAGGGCGUCCCAUUCCACCCUUGUGGUGGCACGUGUUUCUCGAGUUAAGUUCCAUGUUCCAAUUAAAGAUAAUGAUGAUUUUGACAUGAACAUAAAUAAAAUGACAGAACAAUUGGAACAUGGAUAUAAUAAAAUAUUAACCCAAAAUCAUGUAAAGCAAUAGCAUAACUACCCAAAUGAUUCAGGGGUAAACAAGGUAAAAAGGAUAAACAGACUAGGGUGACCUAUUGGGUCCCAUCAAAAUUAAACCUAUGCAUGAAUAAGUGAUAUUAAAGAACAUUAUUGGGUAAAAAGUGGUCAAGGGCACAACUUGCCCGACACUUGAGAUUCCAGGUACCAAGAUGAUCUUUCAGAUCCUUGCGGCCUCACGCUAGUCGUAGCAAUACAAACAAACAUGGUAUAGACAAAAUUAACAUCACACCAAAUAUAAGAAUAAACUGAAUAAUAAUAAUCUACACGUAGCUACGAGAUCGCGGGAUCGAGAACUACUACGAUCAGAGUUAUGGUUAAGAAGUUAUGAUCUAUGGGAGAUCUGCGUGGUUGGAAUAUUAAAUCAUGAAUUGAUUAUUGUACAUCCUAUGAGAGAUUAUUCCAUAAAUAAUUAAUUCAACUUCAAUCUAAGUUAUAAAUUGACCAUAGAUCAUAUUUUGGUAGAUUAUAAUGAUAAGCAGUUUAACCAUACUAACCAACAUAAGUUAAAUAAAGAUCUAACUAGAAAAGAAUGAGAUAUGGUACAAUAAAUGUUGUUAUUGCAUAGUAAAUAUUUAUACGAGACUAACGCAACUUGAACGGAUCAAAUCGGAGUUACGGAUUGUGAGUUAAGAAUUUCCGAAGGUUUUAUUUAUUUGAUACGAGAUUAAUUAAGAGAUAAAUUUUAAUAUGUUUUUCAUGUCAAAACAGAGGCACUAGGUGAUAGAUAAUAUUAUUAAAAAAUUAUAGAAACAGGAAUGGAUCAUUUUGGACUUGAUAUGGCUUUUCUAGGAAUUAAACAAGUUUUUAUAAUUAUUUUUGUAUUAAAAAUCAUUUUCUUAAUCAAUUCCUAUAAUUUUCCUAUUCACUGGACUGCGCACAGAAUUCCUGAGAAGCACAGGGUGUAGCGUGUAAAUUGUUCCAAGACUCUGGCUAAUUCCGCAGUGGACGGCGGGUUAAUAUAACAAAAGGGAAGGGGUUCUUUUAGAAAAUGUGAACGAUGAAAGGGUAUUGGGCGGUUCGAGUCGUCCAGAUUAGAUCUAGCGGUGAAGAUUGGAUCUGGCGUGUUAUGUACUGGUGAGCAGCGAGGACCAUUGGAUAAUGGAUCAACGGUCCAGGUCACUUUUGAACGUGAUCUAAUCAUACACGUCGGUAAAUGAUCCAACGGUGCCCGAUUUCCCCCUCCUCAUACAGACGGCCAGCCAAUCACAGCCGCAAACCCGUGGAUCUACGGUGCUCGUGUUUCUUCCCCGCUCGAAUUCGGGAACGGCGGCGCCGCCCGCGUUGAUUUCAAAUCCCGACGAGCAAUUUGUCCCCCAACAAUACCUAAUCCCGGAUUUAAUGGAGUUCUAGCGCAUGCGGAGAUGAAGACGGUCAAGGGCAGAGGGUACCUCGAUGGCGCAGCUGAUGCCGUCCACACGACCCGCGGAUCCGCAGCGGUUGUAGCACGACGGUGAGCAAUUCCCCCCUCACUGCACGACGAUUCCCGCCGGCGAGGCCAUGGAACGCAUCCACGAGACCCAGCGAAACCCCUGGGCACGACCCCAAGGAUGCGACGGCGAGAAGCAAGCAGGAUUGCCUACGGCAGUGACUCUCUUUACUUGGUCACAACUUAAUCUCGCGCCCCUGGUUGACUGUGGCUCACGGAUGGCUAGAGAAGAGGAGGUGCGGGAGAAUUCGGCCCGCCUUUGUAGCUAGGUAGAGGUGGUCUACGCGUGGCGAAGAAUCCGAGACGUGGCUCGCCAUGCUCGGAGCUGCGAUUGACGGGGUUAAGCUGACGGAGUCCGCGCGCUAGAUGAGGACAAUUCCGACCUGAGGGCCCCACCGCGAAGCCACGGCGCACAUGCUCAGUCGAGUAGUUGUGAGGCUGACUUUGAGGGACCCGCGUGGUUCGGCGCCGAGUCGGCCGGUGAUCUUUCCGCCGAGCAUGCCGGUGAAGUUGUUGAGAGGGGAUAGAGCUGACGGGAGCGGCCCACCAGU